UUGCGUGAUCCAUGCACGCGGGAUGUUGCGAGACUUUCGGAAAGCGUAAAAAUAUUUUUACGCUUUCCGAAAGUCGAGCAAUAUCCCAAGUGCAUGGAUCAUGCUAU
rnacentral:miRNA from 1 species